rnacentral:rRNA from 1 species
GACGAACGCUGGCGGCGUGCCUAAUACCUGCAAGUCGAACGCUUCUUUCCUCCCGAGUGCUUGCACUCAAUUGGAAAGAGGAGUGGCGGACGGGUGAGUAACACGUGGGUAACCUACCCAUCAGAGGGGGAUAACACUUGGCAACAGGUGCUAAUACCGCAUAACAGUUUAUUCCGCAUGGCAUCAGAGUUAAAGGCGCUUUCGUGUGUCGCUGAUGGCUGGACCCGCGGUGCAUUAGCUAGUUGGUGAGGUAACGGCUCACCAAGGCCACGAUGCAUAGCCGACCUGAGAGGGUGAUCGGCCACACUGGGACUGAGACACGGCCCAGACUCCUACGGGAGGCAGCAGUAGGGAAUCUUCGGCAAUGGACGAAAGUCUGACCGAGCAACGCCGCGUGAGUGAAGAAGGUUUUCGGAUCGUAAAACUCUGUUGUUAGAGAAGAACAAGGACGUUAGUAACUGAACGUCCCCUGACGGUAUCUAACCAGAAAGCCACGGCUAACUACGUG